AACGCUAGCUACAGGCUUAACACAUGCAAGUCGAGGGGAAACGGCAUUUUAGCUUGCUAAGAUGGCUGUCGACCGGCGAAUGGGUGAGUAACGCGUAUCCAACCUGCCCCUGACUAGGGAAUAACCCGUUGAAAAGCGGCCUAACGCCCUAUGACCUCAUCUGAAGACAUCAGACGAUGAGUAAAGUUUUACGGUCAGGGAUGGGGAUGCGUCUGAUUAGGUAGUCGGCGGGGUAACGGCCCACCGAGCCAACGAUCAGUAGGGGUUCUGAGAGGAAGGUCCCCCACAUUGGAACUGAGACACGGUCCAAACUCCUACGGGAGGCAGCAGUGAGGAAUAUUGGUCAAUGGGCGCGAGCCUGAACCAGCCAAGUAGCGUGAGGGAUGACGGCCCUAUGGGUUGUAAACCUCUUUUAUAUGGGGAUAAAGUGCGUGACGUGUCAUGCAUUGUAGGUACCAUAGGAAUAAGGACCGGCUAAUUCCGUGCCAGCAGCCGCGGUAAUACGGAAGGUCCAGGCGUUAUCCGGAUUUAUUGGGUUUAAAGGGAGCGUAGGCCGCUUUUUAAGCGUGUUGUGAAAUGUUGGGGCUCAACCCCAUCACUGCAGCGCGAACUGGAAGGCUUGAGAGUGCGCAACGCAGGUGGAAUUUGUGGUGUAGCGGUGAAAUGCUUAGAUAUCACGAAGAACUCCGAUUG
rnacentral:rRNA from 1 species